rnacentral:rRNA from 1 species
UAGCGGCGAACGGGUGAGUAACACGUGAGCAACCUGCCCCGGCCACUGGGAUAACAGGGGGAAACCCCUGCUAAUACCGGGUACGCAGGUUCCCUCGCCUGGGGGAACUUGGAAAGGAGCAAUCCGGACCGGGAUGGGCUCGCGGCCUAUCAGCUAGUUGGUGAGGUAACGGCCCACCAAGGCGACGACGGGUAGCCGGCCUGAGAGGGUGGUCGGCCACACUGGGACUGAGACACGGCCCAGACUCCUACGGGGGGCAGCAGUUGGGAAUCUUGCGCAAUGGGGGAAACCCUGACGCAGCGACGCCGCGUGGGUGAGGAAGGCCUUCGGGUCGUAAAGCCCUUUUCUCGGAGAAGAACGCUCACAGCUAAUCCCUGUGGGCCUGACGGUAUCCGAGGAAUAAGCCCCGGCUAACUCUGUGCCAGCAGCCGCGGUAAGACAGAGGGGGCAAGCGUUGUCCGGAAUUACUGGGCGUAAAGGGCGCGUAGGUGGGGCCGUAAGUCGGCGGUGAAAUGUCCACAGCUCAACUGGGACACUGCCGCCGAGACUGCGGCUCUUGAGUACGGGAGAGGGAAGUGGAAUGGCUGGUGUAGCGGUGAAAUGCGUAGAGAUCAGCCAGAACACCCGUGGCGAAGGCGGCUUCCUGGACCGAGACUGACGCUGAGGCGCGAAAGCUAGGGGAGCGAACGGGAUUAGAUACCCCGGUAGUCCUAGCCGUAAACGAUGGUCACUAGGUGUUGGAGGUAUCGACCCCUCCAGUGCCGGAGCUAACGUGUUAAGUGACCCGCCUGGGGAGUACGGCCGCAAGGUUGAAACUCAAAGGAAUUGACGGGGGCCCGCACAAGCGGUGGAGGAUGUGGUUCAAUUCGAUGCUACGCGAAGAACCUUACCAGGGCUUGACAUCCCGCGAACCCGCUGGAAACAGGGGGGUGCCGGGUAACCGGAGCGCGGAGACAGGUGGUGCAUGGCAGUCGUCAGCUCGUGUCGUGAGAUGUUGGGUUAAGUUCCGCAACGAGCGCAACCCCUGCUGCAUGUUGCUACCGGGUAAUGCCGAGCACUCAUGCGGAACUGCCGGAGCAAUCCGGAGGAAGGUGGGGAUGACGUCAUGUCCGCAUGCCCCUUACGUCCUGGGCUACACACAUCCUACAAUGGGCGGUACAGAGGGUUGCAAGAGCGUGAGCUGGAGCCAAUCCCACAAAGCCGCCCCCAGUUCGGAUUGUAGGCUGCAACUCGCCUACAUGAAGUCGGAAUCGCUAGUAACCGCCGGUCAGCAACACGGCGGUGAAUACGUUCCCGGGCCUUGUACACACCGCCCGUCAAGCGAUGGGAGUCGGCUCCACCCGAAGCCACUGGCCCAACCGGUUUUCCGGAGGGAGGUGUCGAAGGUGGGGUCGGCGACUGGCGCUAAGUCGUAACAAGGUAACC